rnacentral:rRNA from 1 species
CCUACGGGACGCAGCAGUGGGGAAUAUUGCACAAUGGGCGCAAGCCUGAUGCAGCCAUGCCGCGUGUAUGAAGAAGGCCCUAGGGUUGUAAAGUACUUUCAGCCGGGAGGAAGGCGUUGAUGCUAAUAUCAUCAGCGAUUGACGUUACCGACAGAAGAAGCACCGGCUAACUCCGUGCCAGCAGCCGCGGUAAUACGGAGGGUGCAAGCGUUAAUCGGAAUUACUGGCGUAAAGCGCCCGCAGGCGGUUGAUAAAGUUAGAUGUGAAAUCCCCGGGCUUAACCUGGGAAUGGCAUCUAAGACUGGUCAGCUAGAGUCUUGUAGAGGGGGGUAGAAUUCCAUGUGUAGCGGUGAAAUGCGUAGAGAUGUGGAGGAAUACCGGUGGCGAAGGCGGCCCCCUGGACAAAGACUGACGCUCAGGUGCGAAAGCGUGGGGAGCGAACAGGAUUAGAUACCCCGGUAGUC